rnacentral:rRNA from 1 species
UACGUAGGUGGCGGGCGUGUCCGGAUUUACUGGGCGUAAAGAGCGCGCAGGCGGUCGUUCAAGUCGCGUGUGAAAGCCCCCGGCUCAACUGGGGAGGGUCACGCGAUACUGAUCGACUCGAAGGCAGGAGAGGGUAGUGGAAUUUACGGUGUAGCGGUGAAAUGCGUAGAUAUCGUAAGGAAGACCAGUGGCGAAGGCGG